rnacentral:rRNA from 1 species
UACGGGGGGAGCAAGCGUUGUUCGGAUUUACUGGGCGUAAAGGGCGCGUAGGCGGCCAGCCACAAGUCAGUUGUGAAAUCUCCGAGCUUAACUCGGAAAGGUCAACUGAUACUGUGCGGCUAGAGUGCGGAAGGGGCAACUGGAAUUCUUGGUGUAGCGGUGAAAUGCGUAGAUAUCAAGAGGAACACCUGCGGCGAAGGCGGGUUGCUGGGCCGACACUGACGCUGAGGCGCGAAAGCCAGGGGAGCGAACGGG